AAAAUACACCUAGACAGUGUGUGUGUGUGUGUGUGUGUGUGUGUAUAUAUAUAUAUAUACACACACACACACACACAUACAGGGAGUGCAGAAU